CACCUGCCUUCCUGGCUGGUGGCCACACCUUGCCACUGCCCAGGAUCCAUGCUGGUUGCCACCUACACACUGGAAAUGCUGUGGCUGGUAACUGCUGAGCACCGGGCUGCAGAAUCUCAGUCCAGGAGUUGGUGACUUGGCAAGUCACUCUGCCUUGCACUUCUGUUGGAAAAUUCUCUGACCAGCUCACCUGGAGCAGAAAGCAGAACCUCCAGAAUCCCUGCAUUGGCUGCCACUCACGGUGUGGAGGAAAUGACAACUAUCAUCGCUGUAUUUCUGAAGGGCUUCUCAUCUCUCUAAUCAAGUCUUCACCUCGAUGCCAGAAUUAUCUUUCUACCAUACAAAUCCAAUCCUGCCAUCCUCCAAUUGAAAAU
rnacentral:lncRNA from 1 species